rnacentral:rRNA from 1 species
GACGAAGGGGGCUAGCGUUGUUCGGAAUUACUGGGCGUAAAGGGCGCGUAGGCGGCCUGGCAAGUGGAAGGUGAAAUCCCUCGGCUUAACCGAGGAACUGCCUCCCAAACUGCUUGGCUUGAGACCAGGAGAGGUGAGUGGAAUUUCCAGUGUAGCGGUGAAAUGCGUAGAUAUUGGGAGGAACACCAGUGGCGAAGGCGGCUCACUGGACUGGUACUGACGCUGAGGCGCGAAAGCGUGGGGAGCAAACGGG